rnacentral:tRNA from 1 species
AAAAAUUUAGUUAAAAUUAUAACAUUAGUUUGUCAAACUAAAAUUAUUAAUAAAUAAUUUUUA